rnacentral:rRNA from 1 species
AGGAGGUUUGGAUCCUGGGCUCGGAAUGAACGUUGGCGGCGUGGAUUAAGCAUGCAAGUCGUGCGAUGAAGCAGUGCUUGCACUGUGGAUUAGCGGCGUAAGGGAGAGUAACGCGUGGAUACGUACCCUCUGGUCUGGGAUAGCGGCGGGAAACUGCCGGUAAUACCGGAUAAUGUCUCCGGACCAAAGGUGUGAUUCCGCCGGAGGAGCGGUCCGCGUCCUAUUAGGUUGUUGGUGGGGUAAAGGCCUACCAAGCCGAAGAUGGGUACCGGGUGUGAGAGCAUGACCCGGCUCACUGGGACUGAGACACUGCCCAGACACCUACGGGUGGCUGCAGUCGAGAAUCUUCCGCAAAGGGCGCAAGCCUGACGGAGCGACGCCGCGUGCGGGAUUAAGGCCUUCGGGUUGUAAACCGCUGUCAGAGAGGCGGAAAUGCUAUGGGGUUCUCUCCAUAGUUUGACCUAAUCUCAGAGGAAGUGCAGGCUAAGUUCGUGCCAGCAGCCGCGGUAAUACGAACUGCACAAACGUUAUUCGGAAUCACUGGGCUUAAAGAGUCCGUANGCGGNCCUGGAAGGUGAGGUGUGAAAUCCCUCGGCUC